UACGUAGGGAGCAAGCGUUGUCCGGAAUCAUUGGGCGUAAAGCGCGCGUAGGUGGCCUCGUAAGUCCGCUGUGAAAGUCAAAGGCUCAACCUUUGAAAGCCGGUGGAUACUGUGAGGCUAGAGUACGGAAGAGGCGAGUGGAAUUCCUGGUGUAGCGGUGGUAUGCGCAGAUAUCAGGAGGAACACCAAUAGCGAAGGCAGCUCGCUGGGACGUUACUGACACUGAGGCGCGAAAGCGUGGGGAGCGAACAGG
rnacentral:rRNA from 1 species